AUGUCUGGGUAUAACAAUCACUUGAUUCAACUGGGAGUUAAUCUUCCAGAUGAUAGCAUCAUUGACAGAAUUCUUCAAUCACCGCCACCAAGCUACAAGAGCUUCGUGAUGAACUAUAACAUGCAAGGGAUGGAUAAGACGAUUCCCGAGCUCUUCGCAAUGCUAAAGGCUGCGGAGGUAGAAAUCAAGAAGGAGCAUCAAGUGUUGAUGGUCAAUAAGACCACCAGUUUCAAGAAGAAGGGCAAAGGGAAGAAGAGGGGAACUUCAAGAAGAACAACAAACAAGUUGCUGCUCAAGAGAAGAAACCCAAAUCUGGACCUAAGCCUGAGACUGAGUGCUUCUACUGCAAGCAGACUGGUCACUGGAAGUGGAACUGCCCCAAGUAUUUGGCGGAUAAGAAGGAUGGCAAGGUGGACAAAGGGACUACGGAUUAAGCGAACACUUGCUAAGGACGAGGUGACGAUGCGCAUGGGAAAUGGUUCCAAAGUCGAUGUGAUCGCCGUCGGGACGCUACCUCUACAUCUACCUUCGAGAUUAGUUUUAGACCUAAAUAAUUGUUAUUUGGUGCCAGCGUUGAGCAUGAACAUUAUAUCUGGAUCUUGUUUGAUGCGA
rnacentral:rRNA from 1 species